UCCAAAUCUGUUUUUUAUAUGUCAAAAAUUAACCAAACCAAACCGAAUAAAAUUUUAAACCAAAUCAAAUUUACGGCUUAUUUGGUUUUAUGAUUUGAUUGAUUCAGAUAUGGUUUUUGCUCACCCCUAAACGUGUCUUUCUCCAGAAAGACAUGGCUUUGGUGCAUGAAAUCUCUUGUUUGGCAAACUGGAAUAUAGCAUGCCUAGAGAAGAAAGAAGGUGGGUUGGCGGUGAAGGGGA
rnacentral:lncRNA from 1 species